AUUGAACGCUGGCGGCAGGCCUAACACAUGCAAGUCGAGCGGAGCGGCGGACGGGUGAGUAAUGCCUAGGUAUCUGCCUGGUAGUGGGGGAUAACGUCCGGAAACGGGCGCUAAUACAGCAUACUAUCAGAUUAGCCUAGGUCGGAUUAGCUAGUUGGUGGGGUAAAGGCCUACAAAGGCGACGAUCCGUAACUGGUCCGAGAGGAUGAUCAGUCACACUGGAACUGAGACACGGUCCAGACUCCUACGGGAGGCAGCAGUGGGGAAUAUGGGACAAUGGGCGAAAGCCUGAUGCAGCCAUGCCGCGUGUAUGAAGAAGGUCUUCGGAUUGUAAAGCACUUUAAGUUGGGAGGCGUUACCAACAGAAUAAGCACCGGCUAACUUCGUGCCAGCAGCCGCGGUAAUUC
rnacentral:rRNA from 1 species